GUAGGUGGCAAGCGUUAUCCGGAAUUAUUGGGCGUAAAGCGCGCGCAGGCGGUUUCUUAAGUCUGAUGUGAAAGCCCACGGCUCAACCGUGGAGGGUCAUUGGAAACUGGGGAACUUGAGUGCAGAAGAGAAAAGCGGAAUUCCACGUGUAGCGGUGAAAUGCGUAGAGAUGUGGAGGAACACCAGUGGCGAAGGCGGCUUUUUGGUCUGUAACUGACGCUGAGGCGCGAAAGCGUGGGGAGCAAACCGGGAUUAGAUACCCUGGUAGUCCACGCCGUAAACGAUGAGUGCUAAGUGUUAGAGGGUUUCCGGCCUUUAGUGCUGCAGCUAACGCAUUAAGCACUCCGCCUGGGGAUACGGUCGCAAGACUG
rnacentral:rRNA from 1 species